CCUACGGGGUGCACCAGUAGGGAAUCUUCCACAAUGGGCGAAAGCCUGAUGGAGCAACGCCGCGUGGGUGAAGAAGGUCUUCGGAUCGUAAAACCCUGUUGUUAGAGAAGAAAGUGCGUGAGAGUAACUGUUCACGUUUCGACGGUAUCUAACCAGAAAGCCACGGCUAACUACGUGCCAGCAGCCGCGGUAAUACGUAGGUGGCAAGCGUUAUCCGGAUUUAUUGGGCGUAAAGGGAACGCAGGCGGUCUUUUAAGUCUGAUGUGAAAGCCUUCGGCUUAACCGGAGUAGUGCAUUGGAAACUGGGAGACUUGAGUGCAGAAGAGGAGAGUGGAACUCCAUGUGUAGCGGUGAAAUGCGUAGAUAUAUGGAAGAACACCAGUGGCGAAAGCGGCUCUCUGGUCUGUAACUGACGCUGAGGUUCGAAAGCGUGGGUAGCAAACAGGAUUAGAUACCCCAGUAGUC
rnacentral:rRNA from 1 species